AAACUACUCCCUCUGUCCCAAAUUUCUUGUCUUAGAUUUGUCUAGAUACGGAUGUAUCUAAUACUAAAAUGUGACUUGAUACAUCCGUAUCUAGACAAAUCUAAGACAAGAAUUUUGGGACGGAGGGAGUACUUU
rfam:Triticum aestivum genome assembly, contig: Triticum_aestivum_CS42_TGACv1_scaffold_220907_3B